rnacentral:rRNA from 1 species
AGUGAACGCUGGCGGUAGGCCUAACACAUGCAAGUCGAACGGCAGCACAGUAAGAGCUUGCUCUUACGGGUGGCGAGUGGCGGACGGGUGAGGAAUACAUCGGAAUCUACUUUUUCGUGGGGGAUAACGUAGGGAAACUUACGCUAAUACCGCAUACGACCUACGGGUGAAAGCAGGGGAUCUUCGGACCUUGCGCGAUUGAAUGAGCCGAUGUCAGAUUAGCUAGUUGGCGGGGUAAAGGCCCACCAAGGCGACGAUCCGUAGCUGGUCUGAGAGGAUGAUCAGCCACACUGGAACUGAGACACGGUCCAGACUCCUACGGGAGGCAGCAGUGGGGAAUAUUGGACAAAGGGCGCAAGCCUGAUCCAGCCAUACCGCGUGGGUGAAGAAGGCCUUCGGGUUGUAAAGCCCUUUUGUUGGGAAAGAAAAGCAGCAGGUUAAUACCCCGCUGUUCUGACGGUACCCAAAGAAUAAGCACCGGCUAACUUCGUG